rnacentral:lncRNA from 1 species
UGAUAGCAAGUGCUAGGGUUACAAAGUAUUGCUUUUUGGGGAACCCAUGGUUGUUGGGGAGAAACCAGAAGAUCAGUCAUCACAGUGCGGCAAGAUCAGACUUGUGGUUUGUUCAGGUUCUGGGAGCCGUCACUGCAGUGAGAAUGGGACCCUGGUUGAAGGAACCUGUUGUUCUUAUGGUGGAGGGCAGAAACCCAAGAGGGCUGGAGCCAAUCCAUCCCUGUUUUCUUUAGACGCUGACUCCUGCUGUCUACCAGAUCCUCGUGGUACAAUGACUGGUGUAGACUGGCUUGUUGAAGUCACUCUCUGGAUCUGAGCAACGCUGGCUGAGCCGUGAUGAAGUAUUCCUAUCCAUCCACUAUGCUUCACAGUGGGAAUCUCUCACUGUUCAUCACCGCUGCCCUAGCAGCCGCAGAAUCGCUUAGUUUGUAUUUUAUCUGUACUAUGAGUUCCCCAC